UUGCUUCAGUAGCACAUUUACUAAAACUGGAACGAUACAGAGAAGAUUAGCAUGGCCCCUGCCCAAGGAUGACAUGCAAAUUCGUGAAGCGCUCCAUAUUUAA
rnacentral:snRNA from 1 species